AGCUAAUCUGCCCUUUGGUCAGGGAUAGCCUCGGGAAACUGAGGGUAAUACCUGAUAGGGGAUUUUCCCUGGAAUGAAUUAUCCCUCAAACUCGUGCCAAAGGAUGAGGCUGCGGCGGAUUAGGUUGUUGGCGGUGUAAUGGACCACCAAGCCGAAGAUCCGUAAGGGCUCUUAGCGGAGAGGCCCUGAGAGGGAAUCUGAGACACUAUUCCCAGCCCUACGGGGUGCAGCAGUUAGGAAUAAUCUGCAAUGCGCGAAAGCGUGGCAGUUUGAGCCAGAGUGCCCUUCAUAGAAGGGCUUUUGCCGAAUGUAAAUAGUUCGGCGAAUAAGGACUGGGUAAGACGAGUGCCAGCCGCCGCGGUAAUACUCGCGGUCCAAGUCGCAGCCAUAAUUAUUGGGUCUAAAACAUCCGUAGCUUGCAUGGUAAGUUUCCUGUGAAAUCCCGUCUCUCAAGGGCGGGGCGCGCAGAAAGUACUGCCAUGCUAGAGACCGGGAGACGUAAGGAGUACGAUUGAAGUAGCGGUAAAAUGCGUUAAUCUCAGUCGGACUAACAACAGCGAAGGCACCUUACGAGAACGGUUCUGACAGUAAGGGAUGAAGGCUAGGGGCGCAAAACGGAUUAGAUACCCGUGUAGUCCUAGCAGUAAACACUGUACACUAAACAUUGGGACCUCUUCGGGAGGUUCCAGUGCUGCAGGGAAGCCGAAGAGUGUACUACCUGGGAAGUAUAGCCGCAAGGCCGAAACUUAA
rnacentral:rRNA from 1 species